rnacentral:rRNA from 1 species
UACAGAGGUCUCAAGCGUUGUUCGGAUUCAUUGGGCGUAAAGGGCGCGUAGGCGGUCAGCACAAGUCAGUUGUGAAAUCUCCGGGCUUAACUCGGAAAGGUCAACUGAUACUGUGCGACUAGAGUGCAGAAGGGGCAACUGGAAUUCUCGGUGUAGCGGUGAAAUGCGUAGAUAUCAAGAGGAACACCUGCGGCGAAGGCGGGUUGCUGGGCCGACACUGACGCUGAGGCGCGAAAGCCAGGGGAGCGAACGGG